rnacentral:snoRNA from 1 species
ACCCGGAAUGAUAACUGGAUGGCUUUCGUUAAAUCUCUAUCUUUUUUUGAUUUUGAUUUGUUAUCAAUAGCUGGCUGUCUUUUAAUUUUCCGGAAGAUCAAAUCCAUGGGCGACCAUCAGUUGUGUAGCCAUAACCUUU